rnacentral:rRNA from 1 species
UACAGAGACUGCAAGCGUUAUUCGGAUUCACUGGGCGUAAAGGGUGCGCAGGCGGUUGGGUGUGUCAGAUGUGAAAUCCCGAGGCUUAACCUCGGAACUGCGUCUGAAACUACUCGACUAGAGUACUGGAGAGGGUAACGGAAUUCACGGUGUAGCAGUGAAAUGCGUAGAUAUCAGGAGGAAUACCGAUGGCGAAGGCAGGUCUCUGGGCUGACACUGACGCUCAUGCACGAAAGCGUGGGGAGCAAACAGG